rnacentral:rRNA from 1 species
AUUGAACGCUGGCGGCAGGCCUAACACAUGCAAGUCGAGCGGAUGAAGGGAGCUUGCUCCUGGAUUCAGCGGCGGACGGGUGAGUAAUGCCUAGGAAUCUGCCUGGUAGUGGGGGAUAACGUCCGGAAACGGGCGCUAAUACCGCAUACGUCCUGAGGGAGAAAGUGGGGGAUCUUCGGACCUCACGCUAUCAGAUGAGCCUAGGUCGGAUUAGCUAGUUGGUGGGGUAAAGGCCUACCAAGGCGACGAUCCGUAACUGGUCUGAGAGGAUGAUCAGUCACACUGGAAGUGAGACAGGGUCCAGACUACUGAGGGAGGGAGCAGUGGGGAAUAUUGGACAAUGGGCGAGAGUAUGAUACAGCCAGGGCGAGUGUGUGAAGAAGGUCUUCGGAGUGUAAAGAACUUUAAGUUGGGAGGAAGGGCAGUAAGUUAAUACCUUGCUGUUUUGACGUUACCAACAGAAUAAGCACCGGCUAACUUCGUG